CGUGAGUACAACCGUAUGCUGACACCUGUGAAUCCUCUUAAAUUAUUGAAGUCGGGAAUGGUCUUGGGGACUCUCAAUGCAGGGAAAUCUUAAAACAUCACUGUUUUAGUCGCAUCGGAGGUGGACUCCUGUUAGGGGUACAGUACUAGGAUGAGAGUUCUGGUGGUUAGAAGCUUGAGAUCAAGAUGUCAGCAGGGUUGGUCUCUUCUAAGGACUGAGAGGAAGACUCUGUUCUAAGCUCUCCACUAGCUUAUGGUGAUUGUUGCAAAAUCUGAGGUUUCUCAGAAAAGAAGGAAUUCUGCCUCAAGAUUGUAACGUGGAAAUCCUGCCUGAGUUUCCAGCCUGCCCUUUGGACUUCAGACUUGCCAACACCCACAAUCAUUUUCAUGAAUGAAUGACGACAUCAUUUGAAACUGGCACCUGAUUGAGUCCAUCGAUUCCCUUCACUAACAGCACCAGCCCCCCUCCCCCGCCCCACCACAGCCAUUUACUUUCAAAAUAUCAUUGACGGCUGAGGAAAUCCACUGGAAAACUACCAAAAGGAAGUGUAUUUCACUAAAUGAAGUU